GAUGAACGCUGGCAGCGUGCCUAAUACAUGCAAGUCGAGCGAACGGACGAGAAGCUUGCUUCUCUGAUGUUAGCGGCGGACGGGUGAGUAACACGUGGAUAACCUACCUAUAAGACUGGGAUAACUUCGGGAAACCGUAGCUAAUACCGGAUAAUAUUUUGAACCGCAUGGUUCAAAAGUGAAAGACGGUCUUGCUGUCACUUAUAGAUGGAUCCGCGCUGCAUUAGCUAGUUGGUAAGGUAACGGCUUACCAAGGCAACGAUGCAUAGCCGACCUGAGAGGGUGAUCGGCCACACUGGAACUGAGACACGGUCCAGACUCCUACGGGAGGCAGCAGUAGGGAAUCUUCCGCAAUGGGCGAAAGCCUGACGGAGCAACGCCGCGUGAGUGAUGAAGGUCUUCGGAUCGUAAAACUCUGUUAUUAGGGAAGAACAUAUGUGUAAGUAACUGUGCACAUCUUGACGGUACCUAAUCAAAAAGCCACGGCUAACUACGUG
rnacentral:rRNA from 1 species